CUUCUUCUGCGAGUAACGUAAUUGAUGAACGUAUUAAGCUACACCACCUUUCCUCCUCGCUGAAAGUGCUUUACAACCCGAAGGCCUUCUUCACACACGCGGCAUGGCUGCAUCAGGCUUGCGCCCAUUGUGCAAUAUUCCCCACUGCUGCCUCCCGUAG
rnacentral:rRNA from 1 species